rnacentral:rRNA from 1 species
CCUACGUGGGGCUGCAGUCGAGAAUCAUUCACAAUGGGGGAAACCCUGAUGGUGCGACGCCGCGUGGGGGAAGACGGUCCUCUGGAUUGUAAACCACUGUCCCCAGGGACGAAGAUGACGGUACCUGGGGAGGAAGCUACGGCUAACUACGUGCCAGCAGCAGCGGUAAUACGUAGGGAGCAAGCGUUGUCCGGAAUUACUGGGUGGAAAGGGAGCGUAGGCGGGAUGGCAAGGUGGGUGUUAAAUCUACCGGCUCAACUGGUAGUCGAACUCAAAAUUGCUAUUCUUGAGUGAAGUAGAGGCAGGCGGAAUUCCUAGGGUAGCGGUGAAAUGCGUAGAUAUUAGGAGGAACACCAGUGGCGAAGGCGGCCUGCUGGGCUUUUACUGACGCUGAGGCUCGAAAGUGUGGGGAGCAAACAGGAUUAGAUACCCUUGUAGUC